rnacentral:rRNA from 1 species
AACGAACGCUGGCGGCAGGCUUAACACAUGCAAGUCGAACGGGCACCUUCGGGUGUCAGUGGCAGACGGGUGAGUAACGCGUGGGAACGUACCCUUCGGUUCGGAAUAACCCAGGGAAACUUGGGCUAAUACCGGAUACGUCCGUAAGGAGAAAGAUUUAUUGCCGAAGGAUCGGCCCGCGUCGGAUUAGCUAGUUGGUGGGGUAAUGGCCCACCAAGGCGACGAUCCGUAGCUGGUCUGAGAGGAUGAUCAGCCACACUGGGACUGAGACACGGCCCAGACUCCUACGGGAGGCAGCAGUGGGGAAUAUUGGACAAUGGGCGAAAGCCUGAUCCAGCCAUGCCGCGUGAGUGAAGAAGGCCUUAGGGUUGUAAAGCUCUUUCAGCGGGAAGAUAAUGACGGUACCCGCAGAAGAAGUCCCGGCUAACUUCGUGCCAGCAGCCGCCGUAAG